ACUCAAAUGAAUUGACGGGGGCCCGCACAAGCGGUGGAGUAUGUGGUUUAAUUCGAUGCAACGCGAAGAACCUUACCAAGGUUUGACAUCCUGAGAAGUCCGAUGAAAGUUGGAUGUGCCGCAAGGAACUCAGAGACAGGUGGUGCAUGGCUGUCGUCAGCUCGUGUCGUGAGAUGUUGGGUUAAGUCCCGCAACGAGCGCAACCCUCGAUGCCAGUUGCUAGCAGGUAAAGCUGAGCACUCUGGCGUGACUGCCGGUGACAAACCGGAGGAAGGUGGGGAUGACGUCAAGUCAUCAUGCCCCUUAUGCCUUGGGCUACACACGUACUACAAUGGCCGGGACAGAGGGCAGCAAAACCGCGAGGUGGAGCCAAUCCCCAAACCCGGUCUCAGUUCAGAUUGGAGGCUGCAACUCGCCUCCAUGAAGGCGGAAUCGCUAGUAACCGCAGGUCAGCAUACUGCGGUGAAUACGUUCCCGGGCCUUGUACACACCGCCCGU
rnacentral:rRNA from 1 species